UUUCCGUAGGUGAACCUGCGGAAGGAUCAUUAUAAAUGAAAAACGAAUAACUUCAGGGAAGAAGGGAACCUGCACGGUGACCUCCCCUGUCGGGCCACCCAAUACCUUCAAAAUGCCGCCGUCCUAGCGGUGGCAGACGAAAAAAAAACAAGAAGAACAUAAUAGAAACAGGCACGGUGGCCCGUUCACCUUCACACAACCCUCCGAGUACCGCUUCCAUGUUGCUUCCCCGCAAAUCCACCUCUUUGGUGAGCGCGGGGGAGGUCCGCAUCAAAUUCACCUGAAUGUCACAGCAGUCAGACAGCCAUUCAUGGAAACAAUAAAACUUUCAACAACGGAUCUCUUGGUUCCC
rnacentral:misc_RNA from 1 species